CCUACGGGUGGCAGCAGUGGGGAAUAUUGCACAAUGGGGGAAACCCUGAUGCAGCGACGCCGCGUGAGUGAAGAAGUAUUUCGAUAUGUAAAGCUCUAUCAGCAGGGAAGAAAAUGACGGUACCUGACUAAGAAGCCCCGGCUAACUACGUGCCAGCAGCCGCGGUAAUACGUAGGGGGCAAGCGUUAUCCGGAUUUACUGGGUGUAAAGGGAGCGUAGACGGCAGCGCAAGUCUGAAGUGAAAUGCCGGGGCUUAACCCCGGAACUGCUUUGGAAACUGUGCAGCUAGAGUGCAGGAGAGGUAAGUGGAAUUCCUGGUGUAGCGGUGAAAUGCGUAGAUAUUAGGAGGAACACCAGUGGCGAAGGCGGCUUACUGGACUGUAACUGACGUUGAGGCUCGAAAGCGUGGGGAGCAAACAGGAGUAGAUACCCGAGUAGUC
rnacentral:rRNA from 1 species